rnacentral:rRNA from 1 species
UUUUAGAAAUUAAUUUAAAGUCUAACCUGCCCACUGAAAAAUUUUAAAUGGCCGCAGUAUCCUAACUGUGCAAAGGUAGCAUAAUCAUUAGUCUUUUAAUUGAAGGCUGGAAUGAAUGGUUGGAUGAAAUAUUAACUGUUUCAUAAAAAUUUAUAAUAGAAUUUUAUUUUUUAGUCAAAAAGCUAAAAUAUUAUUAAAAGACGAGAAGACCCUAUAAAUCUUUAUAUUUAAAUAAUAUUAAUUAUUUAGAUAAGUUAAAUUAUUAUUAUUUUAAAUAUUUUAUUGGGGUGAUAUUAAAAUUUAAUAAACUUUUAAUUUAUUAUAUACAUAAAUUAAUGAAUUAUUGAUCCAUUUAUUAUGAUUAAAAAAUUAAGUUACUUUAGGGAUAACAGCGUAAUUUUUUUAGAGAGUUCAUAUUGAUAAAAA